rnacentral:rRNA from 1 species
CCCCACUGCUAUCGGGAUGGGACUAAGACAUGCUAGUCGAGCGUCUCCAAGCUAUGGAAGAGACGCGGCACACAGCUCAGUAACACGUGGCUAACCUGCCCUUGGGACAAGGACAACUCCGGGAAACUGGGGCUAAUCCCUGAUAAGUGAGAACUCCUGGAAUGGAUUCUCGCUCAAAGGACGUUUAGACCAUGCUUCUAGGCGUCGCCCAAGGAGGGGGCCGCGACCGAUCAGGUUGUUGGUGAGGUAACGGCUCACCAAGCCUUUAACCGGUACGGGCCGUGAGAGCGGAAGCCCGGAGAUGAGCACUGAGACAAGGGCCCAGGCCCUACGGGGCGCAGCAGUCGCGAAAACUCCGCAAUACACGAAAGCGUGACGGGGCUAUCCCGAGUGCCGUCCGCUGAGGAUGGCUUUUCCCUAGUGUAUAAAGCUGGGGGAAUAAGGAGAGGGCAAGCCUGGUGUCAGCCGCCGCGGUAAUACCAGCUCUCCGAGUGGUGGGGAUGCUUAUUGGGCCUAAAGCAUUCGUAGCCGGUUGGGCAAGUCCUCCGUUAAAUCCAGCGAUUCAAUCGUUGGACUGCGGGGGAUACUGCCCGGCUUGGGGGCGGAAGAGGCCGACGGUAUUCUCGGGGUAGGGGUGAAAUCCUAUAAUCCCGGGAGGACCACCAGUGGCGAAGGCUGUCGGCUAGAACGCGCCCGACGGUGAGGGAUGAAAGCUGGGGGAGCGAACCGGAUUAGAUACCCGGGUAGUCCCAGCUGUAAACGAUGCAGGCUAGGUGUUGGCGCGGCUACGUGCCGCUCCAGUGCCGCAAGGAAGCCGUUAAGCCUGCCGCCUGGGAAGUACGGCCGCAAGGCUGAAACUUAAAGGAAUUGGCGGGGGAGCACCACAAGGUGUGAAGCUUGCGGUUU